rnacentral:rRNA from 1 species
UACGGAGGGGGCUAGCGUUGUUCGGAAUUACUGGGCGUAAAGCGCACGUAGGCGGCUUUGUAAGUUAGAGGUGAAAGCCCAGGGCUUAACCCUGGAAUUGCCUUUAAGACUGCAUCGCUAGAAUUGUGGAGAGGUAAGUGGAAUUCCGAGUGUAGAGGUGAAAUUCGUAGAUAUUCGGAAGAACACCAGUGGCGAAGGCGACUUACUGGACACAUAUUGACGCUGAGGUGCGAAAGCGUGGGGAG